rnacentral:lncRNA from 1 species
AUUAUUUUUUUUAAUUUUAUUUUAUUUUUAAACUUUACAAUAUUGUAUUAGUUUUGCCAAAUAUUGAAAUGAAUCCGCCACAGGUAUACCUGUGUUCCCCACCCUGAACCCUCCUCCCUCCUCCCUCCCCAUACCCUCCCUCUGGGUCAUCUUAUGAUCCCUCAUAAAGUUCCUUCUGGAACAAGAUUCCCUUUUCUCCUCAAGCCAGCCCCCAGUAGGUUCACCUUUACAGUUUCUGGAACUAGAACAAGAGGUGUAUUAAUUUUCUCUCUGACUAUGUGUGGACAUCCUAAGGAUGCCCUGGGAUCUUUUGAAUGAGAUUUUGGAUCACAUGUCUAUCAGCAGACCAGAAAACAAAUGACAAAUGACAAAAAUUAUGACAAUAAAAAUAGGUAAGUCCAUAAGGAUAAUCCUCUU